CAGAAAACUUGGCUGUUUAUUCUCCCAGGUUGGUAGUAAAACUAGAAGUUAGGAAUGAGUCCAAGGGUUGGAAACGAAGUUGUGUCUAGAGGCAGGUACACUGGCAUUCUGUUCUCCAUUUUUUUCCCUUCAUCAAGGGCAGAGGAGUGGAAGGUGAGGAAGAAGGGAUGAACAGGAUCACAAAAGUCCUCGGCUCUCCUCGAUGGGCAUUCUGAAGAGUCAAAAGCUGCUGAGCUAGCCACCUUCCCUCUUCCAGGUCUAUCAUUAGUGCCAGUCAUGGAAGUCAGCUUGGAUUUGGGAUGGGGAAACCAAGAAACUGAGAAUCAAAGAGGUUAAAUGACUUAAGAAAGAUUUCACCUCUAGUUAGAGGCAGAGACAAAUCUAGAAUUUUUCCUGAUUCUGAGUGCAAUGCACUUUCCUGACCUUCACUCAACCUGAGUUUGAUCUUACAGAGGAAGUCUUUGAAGACCUGCUGGGACAAUUGUUUGUUUCCCACAGAAUUCUGCGGCUAGCUCUAUUUCCUUAAUCCUGAAAUUCCAGCUCAGUACUUAUUUUCCAAACCUGUCACCAUUAACUUGAUUUUCUUCCUUUCCUCUUCCUUGCUCCCCAUCAUAUGUAAACUCUGAUUUAUAUCUGACCAGGAAACACACUCAAAAUAUAUUUCUCAAGUGUUUACCCAAUGGUGCCCCAGGCAAUACCAAUAAUGAUGAGCUAAACAAUCAUAUAUUAUUGUCUGUGAAUAUUUACUUUGUGACAGAGUCCUAAUCCUCUCCCAAAUGGUUAGCAAAUUCACUGAAAUUAUUUACUGGAAGAAUUCUAAUUUUUCAAAUAAUUCUUCUUUAUCUAAGUCCCACAAUUAUCUUCUCUUAUCCAGCUUCCCCCAAGCCCCACUUCAGACCUUACUUACUGAAUUUUUUCUAGCUCUUUAACCUCUCUGUAGUACUUCAUCCCUUAAUGCUUUUGUUCUUACUGAUUAUUUUCUCCUAAAAUAUAUCCAUCAUCCUAUUUGUUUAUACAUUUAUUAUAGAAUGCAUUUUCUAAACACUUGUGUUAGGAAUGAGGCUAGGUGCUGGUGUGGUCAUCAGCAAAGUACACAGUCCAUGAACUCAUAGCAGGUAGGAUACAGACAAAUGAAAUGGCAAUUAUAAAAGCACAUGAAAUAAGUGCAACAAUUAGAUAAGUGUAGAUACGUUGUUGGGAGAAACACCUAAGACGGCCUUUGUGGAGGGAAUCUGUUUGUGUGUGAAAUCAUGGCUUGUCCAUCAUUGUAUUGGCUGGGAUUGAUGAGCAAAUGAUAUGUAAUACACACUCAAUAAAUGUUGGUAGAACUAAUAAGAAUGAUCUGUGGUGAAAUGACUCCUGAGACAGUGACUAUGUUCUCUUUACUUCCAGGUCACUUUGCAUCGUAAACACUUAAUGUCUCUCUAGAUAGAAUUAAUCAGAGAGUGGUAGAAACUAUUAACACCUGGAUACUUCAGUUUUAUAAACUAAAAGCUUUUGAGUUAUUUUACCCAUUGAAUGAUCUUUAUUGCCUGCUCAGACUGAGUAAAUUCAAGCACCUGAAGGAUAAAUGAAAGUUUAUCCUUUAGAUAUAACAGGUUUGCAUCCUGGCUCUGCCAUUUAUGAGUAUUGACUUGAGGUUCAUUAAUUAAGCCCUCUAAGCCCUAGCUGUUAAACGGGCAUAAUCAGGAUACGUUGAAGGAAUUAAAAGUAAUAACAUGCAAAGGAACUGAAACAGUGACUGCUACACAGUAAACACUCAAUAAAUGUUAAUCCUCUUUGCAUCCUCCUCUAAACCUUUGAUAAUAUAUAUUUAGCAUAAUAUUUUGGAAUAUCUGAAAGUAAAUGAAAUUAUGCACAAGUAAUUGAAUUUCUAUUCAUAUUUUUGCAUAGUAGUUACUAUCUGGAUACUAGGCUGAAAAGAAUAAAAAAUUGGAACUCUUUAAGUAAAUGCGCUUUUCUGUCUCUUAUAUACAUCCAGUUGGCUAUUGAAACAACAUGGGAGAAAGGCAGGCAGAAGCAAGAUACCCCAUCCACUUACCUUAUUUUUUCUCUACAUGAAAUAAAUGAUUUAUAUUGAGUUUCUGGAUUUUUAAAGUUACCUUUUUUUGUUUUUUUCCUGGAGUCUCACUCUGUUGCCC
rnacentral:lncRNA from 1 species